UACGGAGGGUGCGAGCGUUGUCCGGAAUCAUUGGGCGUAAAGGGCGCGUAGGUGGCCUGCUAAGCGUGCGGUGAAAGCUCGGGGCUCAACCCCGAGUCGGCCGUGCGAACUGGUGGGCUUGAGCACUGUAGAGGCAGGCGGAAUUCCGGGUGUAGCGGUGGAAUGCGUAGAGAUCGGGAAGAACAUCAGUGGCGAAGGCGGCCUGCUGGGCUGUUGCUGACGCUGAGGCGCGACAG
rnacentral:rRNA from 1 species